rnacentral:rRNA from 1 species
AUUGAACGCUGGCGGCAGGCCUAACACAUGCAAGUCGAACGAACUCUUCGGAGUUAGUGGCGGACGGGUGAGUAACACGUGGGAACGUGCCUUUAGGUUCGGAAUAACUCAGGGAAACUUGUGCUAAUACCGAAUGUGCCCCCCGAUUCAUUUUGGGGUGGGAAAGAUUUAUCGCCUUUAGAGCGGCCCGCGUCUGAUUAGCUAGUUGGUGAGGUAAAGGCUCACCAAGGCGACGAUCAGUAGCUGGUCUGAGAGGAUGAUCAGCCACAUUGGGACUGAGACACGGCCCAAACUCCUACGGGAGGCAGCAGUGGGGAAUCUUGCGCAAUGGGCGAAAGCCUGACGCAGCCAUGCCGCGUGAAUGAUGAAGGUCUUAGGAUUGUAAAAUUCUUUCACCGGGGACGAUAAUGACGGUACCCGGAGAAGAAGCCCCGGCUAACUUCGUGCCAGCCGCCGCAGUAA